AUUGAACGCUGGCGGCAUGCUUUACACAUGCAAGUCGAACGGUAACGCGGGCUUCGGCCUGGCGACGAGUGGCGAACGGGUGAGUAAUACAUCGGAACGUACCGAGUAGUGGGGGAUAGCCCGGCGAAAGCCGGAUUAAUACCGCAUACGAUCUUAGGAUGAAAGUGGGGGACUUUCGGGCCUCACGCUAUUCGAGCGUCCGAUGGCUGAUUAGCUAGUUGGUGAGGUAAAGGCUCACCAAGGCGACGAUCAGUAGCGGGUCUGAGAGGACGACCCGCCACACUGGGACUGAGACACGGCCCAGACUCCUACGGGAGGCAGCAGUGGGGAAUCUUGGACAAUGGGCGCAAGCCUGAUCCAGCAAUGCCGCGUGGGUGAAGAAGGCCUUCGGGUUGUAAAGCCCUUUUGUCAGGGAGCAAAUCCUUGGAGCUAACAUCUCCUGGGGAUGAGAGUACCUGAAGAAUAAGGACCGGCUAACUACGUGCCAGCCGCCGCCGUAA
rnacentral:rRNA from 1 species